CCUACGGGGGGCAGCAGUGGGGGAUAUUGCACAAUGGGGGGAACCCUGAUGCAGCGACGCCGCGUGGAUGAAGGAGUGCUUCGGCAUGUAAAGCCCUAUCGGCAGGGAAGAAGCAAGACGGUACCUGACUAAGAAGCCCCGGCUAACUACGUGCCAGCAGCCGCGGUAAUACGUAGGGGGCGAGCGUUAUCCGGAUUCACUGGGUGUAAAGGGAGCGUAGACGGCCAUGCAAGCCAGGGGUGAAAGCCCGGGGCCCAACCCCGGGACUGCCCUUGGAACUGUGCGGCUAGAGUGCGGGAGGGGCAGGCGGAAUUCCUGGUGGAGCGGGGAAAUGCGUAGAUAUCAGGAGGAACACCGGCGGCGAAGGCGGCCUGCUGGACCGCGACUGACGUUGAGGCUCGAAAGCGUGGGGAGCGAACAGGAUUAGAUACCCCAGUAGUC
rnacentral:rRNA from 1 species